rnacentral:lncRNA from 1 species
GGGUACUUUUUGCUUCUAGUGACAUAUUUCUUCUCUUCAUUCUUCUUCUUCUUCAAGCUCUUCUUCAUGAGAAAUUUUUUAAAUUUUCUUGAAAGUAGUAUCAUGUCCUCAUCAUCUUCACUUUCUUCUUCUUCUUCAUCUUCUCCCAACUCAUUGCUUUCUUCAUAAUAUGCAUUGGAUUUGAAGGCGAUGGUCUUCCUCAUAGGU